AUACGAUCAGCUUCUAAAUAAAAGAUCUUUAAAAAUACACUAUUUAACGGUCGAGAAAACAUGCAUUUAAAACUAAUAAAUAAUCUCCUGAAAAGAACGCAGCUAGUCAUGAAGUUUAUAAGGGCACUCAUAUGUACACUAUUUAUUGUCGUAUGUGUUGGUUUCCCCUGCAGAUAAAAGUAGAGCAGAUAUCAUGUAUGUGUUGCUUUCGGUGAGAUCGUCCAUGGCAAAUUGGCAGGUUCAGUAGUGGUUCACACGUGUGUCAGUGUAGAUAAAGUAUGUGGGAAUGGAAGGUGUAUGGAAGCGCAGUGGGUAUCGAUCAUCUAUCCAAUUUCAUAUGACAAGCUGUAUUUGUAGUGUAAAGUCAUGAACUCCAAUGCAAUGAAACCUCUCCGGUUUAGCUGUAGCGGGACUGUCUCCGUACGACUGAGAUCCUCUUACUUUACUUCACCCAUCACAUGGAGUUGACACGUAAACUGUAUAUCCCUCGGACCUAUAUGUCAGCCAGCAAGUCAUGGAAUUUAAGUCAGAGGAGCUCUGUUCGUCAUGUGUAGUGUAAACAACGGAGUAAAUGGUGCGGCAAAGGACUUUCAGUAAGAGUCUGUGAGAAUAACGAUGAUAUUUUGACAAGCCAAGAAAUUAAACCAGUCUCAGGGUAUGCAGUUGUUACUGAAGUAUCAUAAACAAGAAAAAUUUGCUAGCUGCCAAGCUGCAUGCUGAGAUUAAUC
rnacentral:lncRNA from 1 species